UCUCGGAGAGAGACCCCACCUCCUUACCACCACAGAUUCCACUCAUCACAUAGUGCAGAUGGUGGAAACUUCUAUAAUAACCACGACAGAAUGAGACCAGUCCCAUAUGAAAUGAAUGACGGCUGGAGAUACCCUGCACCUCCUUUUCCUGGUAAUUUUAAUUUAUCUGAAAGUUUAUAGAGAUUUAUGCACAUGUUAAUUCAUUGUAUGGUAUUUCGUGUUUUUAUCUUAUUGUCAAUACCAUUUUCCCCACAUAGGUCCACGGCAUCCUGAUAAAAGUAGAGCAUCUCACCCACCUGGUCCUUAUGGUGGCCCCCCUAGAGAACCGAAUAGAAUUCCUCAUCAGGAAUGGUCAUUUCCUCCCCGGGGGACACAUCAUAGGAACUUCAUGCCUUUUAGACCUCCACCUGAAAGGGCAAUUCCAG
rnacentral:lncRNA from 1 species